rnacentral:rRNA from 1 species
UACGUAGGGUGCAAGCGUUGUCCGGAAUUAUUGGGCGUAAAGAGCUCGUAGGCGGUUUGUCGCGUCUGCUGUGAAAACGCGAGGCUCAACCUCGCGCCUGCAGUGGGUACGGGCAGACUGGAGUGCGGUAGGGGAGAUUGGAAUUCCUGGUGUAGCGGUGAAAUGCGCAGAUAUCAGGAGGAACACCGAUGGCGAAGGCAGGUCUCUGGGCCGAUACUGACGCUGAGGAGCGAAAGCGUGGGGAGCGAACAGG